GUCUUGGUGGCUGAGUGGUAAAGUGUGGAUUCUGAACAGAGGGCACCUGGGUUUGAAUCCCGGUAAAGACU
rnacentral:tRNA from 1 species